CACGCAGAGGCGGAAGCGACCAUGGGGAAGGCUAAACCUCCCCUCCCACAACCACCUCCACCACCAUCUUUAAAAGAAGGUGCUAAAGGGCUGUCCUGCAAAGAAAAGGAGAGGAGUGCCCCUUAAUCUUUCCUUGCUUUCCACUGAAAUCUCCUAUCUACAACCAUACAGUUGCUCAAUUCUGGUCUCAGCUGCAGCCCAAUCAUUCAUCGGUAUAUAAGUCACUACACCCUCUGCAUUUCCCACCCCUUUAGCCAUCAUCAAUCCUUGAAGAAGCUUCGUGCUACCUGAGGUGGUGUUCACUGUGCACAAUUGGAGGCUGUAUACAUCCACAGACCUGUCAGCUCCGCGAAUUUGGAGCUCCCAGGUUCUGCAUUGCACUGAGAUGGGGAGGCAUUCUUGCUGCUACAAGCAAAAGUUGAGAAAGGGACUCUGGUCUCCUGAGGAGGAUGAGAAGCUCAUGAAUCACAUAACAAAGCAUGGCCAUGGCUGCUGGAGUUCUGUUCCCAAACUCGCAGGGCUCCAAAGGUGCGGAAAGAGUUGCAGGCUGAGAUGGAUAAACUAUCUGAGACCAGACCUCAAGAGAGGGGCAUUCUCUCAAGAGGAAGAAGACCUCAUCAUUGAGCUGCAUGCUGUCCUUGGGAACAGGUGGUCUCAAAUUGCAGCACAGCUGCCUGGAAGGACUGACAACGAGAUCAAGAAUCUAUGGAACUCAUGCAUCAAGAAGAAGCUGAGGCAGAAAGGCAUUGAUCCCAACACCCACAAGCCGCUUGCUGAGGCUGAUCGCAGUGGUGCAGCUCCCACCAUCAGCACCGAGAGGACCUCAGGGUCCAGCGAUGUCAACCCAUCAAGCACUGGGGCUCUGGGGAACUUGAGCCACCUCCUCAGCGAGACGGCUCAAUCAUCAAUGCUGCUGCCAGUGUAUGACAAGAAUCACCCUGAAACUCCAAACUUGGCACGCCCUAAGGUACCACCAAAGGAGUUAUUUCUGGACCAGCUUACUACUGGACACGAGAGCCCAUCAACCUGCCGCUCAUCAGGCCAAACACUGUACUUCCCAUUCCAACAGCCAUUAGGCUACAGCAGCGAGAGUGGCAGUGGUGGUGAUGGUGCAAGUAUGAACUCACUCUGGUUCAACCAGAAUGACUUCAACUGCAGCACAAUUUCCACUGUGAUGCCACCAGUUUCACCAUCAGCCCUCUCAACAUCGAUGGGGCUGAAUCUCCCACCAGAUAAUCCUCGACAUGGAGGCACUGGCAUUGGAAGUGCCUCAGUAGAUUCAUUUUACUGGGAUGGUACAAAUCCUAGCAGCAGUAGCAGUACUGGGAGCAGAGGAAGCAACAGUUUGGGAUUUGAACCACAGAGCACAAGCUCAAUUCUGGAGAACAGUGUGUUCCCAUGGACAGAUAUCGCACAAGAAAAAGAUACAAGAGCUCACUUAGGAGAGGAACUUAAGUGGCCUGACUUGCUCCAUGGAACCUUUGCCGAGACGACCAUAGCCAUGCAGAACCAGAGCCAAUCACUCUAUGAUGAUGUAAUCAAGGCAGAGAGCCAAUUCAGCAUGGACGGGAUGUGUGCUUCUUGGUACCAGAAUCAGCAGCCACAGCAACAGAUGCAGGCAGCACCAGACAUGUAUGACAAGGACUUGCAAAGAAUGCAGGUGUCUUUUGAGAAUAUCUAGGCAUUAUGUUCCACCAUAUGGAACAGAGCAUGCAGAAGAAGAAACUUAUAAUUUUCACAGAUUCAUGAGCAGAAAUAUGCUGAGCCACUUACAUAGAUAUGUAUGUAAGUUGAUACAGAAACCAUCCACCACAGCUGUUCCUCAGUCGAAGAUCCUGCAGUAUCAUGGAAAGGACAGUCCUGGCCUUAGGAGUGGCAGCAGAAUACAUAGAAAAGUAUGUUCUAGAGUCUCCUUUUCUUUCUCUUCACAAUUGAUUUUUUUUCCUUCUGUACAAGACAACUCAACUUUUGGACAUUUGAGUUUUGUUCACUCUCUGUUUAUUAAAUAAAUAUAGACAAGCAUGGGCAAAACUGCAUGUGUCGGUAGCUCUCAUAAACCAUGCAAGUAGUCCCAAACUUUUCAACCAUUGCCAUGCACGUCUAUGCAAAUUAAUUAUUGCAUGUUGUAUUUUCAUUUCUACUUUUGAGAAGUUGCCGACAAACGGCAGUUGUAUAUUUGUAAAGGAAGAAAUAUGGAAUAUUGACCUAAGAGCUAUUUUUCUUCCC